rnacentral:other from 1 species
AGUGCCCUGCGGUGCCCGUGAUGCUCCAAUACGUCUUGAGCCAACACCUUAUCCUUGGGAGCCGAGUGCUCGGGGGGGAAUGCGAUAGCCCUUGAUUGGCAAGGCAGGAACCUUCGGACCGGCACCCACCUGCGAUAGCAGGUUCAAGAACAUGAAGCACACGGCACAGCGGGGACUUU